rnacentral:rRNA from 1 species
UACGGAAGGUCCGGGCGUUAUCCGGAUUUAUUGGGUUUAAAGGGAGCGUAGGCCGGAGAUUAAGCGUGUUGUGAAAUGUAGACGCUCAACGUCUGCACUGCAGCGCGAACUGGUUUCCUAGAGUACGCACAAAGUGGGCGGAAUUCGUGGUGUAGCGGUGAAAUGCUUAGAUAUCACGAAGAACUCCGAUUGCGAAGGCAGCUCACUGGAGCGCAACUGACGCUGAAGCUCGAAAGUGCGGGUAUCGAACAGG